CAACUAAUACAUUUUUGUAGUUCCUCUGUUACAGAGGUAAAAUUUCUACUAAUUUUGGGAAGUUAUUUUUGUUGCAUGUUCCCCUUUCUUAGUCUUCUAUUUGUUCAAAUGUAAGCAUCCGAGCUUAUAAUCCUUAUUACACAAUGAGUCUCACCAUUCUACCAUUUUCCUGGAAAUUUGUGCUCACAUAGUUUCGUUUUUAAUUUGGGUGAUACUUCUGUUCCCAUGAUUUGGUGCACUACAUAUAGCAUGGGACAUUAUAGGCUUAUUGAGCAUAAUUGGUUUGGUGCCAAAAAUAGGCAUGCCAAUGUUUGGCAUUGUGCCAAAUAUUCGCUACUACUUGGUUGGUUACCGAGUUGUCUUGCCUAUCUCACAUAAAGUUGCCAAUAUUUGGCAAGUCUUGGUAUUGCCAAUAUUUGGCAAUUCCAACAUUUGGCUAGCCAAAUAUUGGCAGCAAACCAAUCAUGCUCAUUUUCUUUUCGCUUCGUUCAUGCACUGAUGCAUUAAUCUUCUGGUUAUGGCAUCAUUAUGUAGUCUAGAGAUAUGCAAUGACAACCAUGGCUUUGGUGUUCAGAUAAUCUGGUUAGUAUACCAUUUAUAGACUAAAGAAGCCUUGGCAUCUUAUCAAAAUUCUUUAAGCCUACAUAUUAUGUAUGCCCAGUUAAGUACCUUGUACCAGUACCUUAAUUAGCCUCUUCUGACCAUUGACUGUUUGAGCUGCUGUAGUAGGACUCAGAGUUUCAAAGUUACUAGGCAUCUGGACAUGCUUUUAUUUUAGUUUGUACAAUUUUGUGUACUUUUGGCUUCAGGUUGCUGCUGCAAGGUGCAGCAGCAGGGGAGAGGAAGGAGGUCUGUGAUAGGGGGAAAGUGCAGGCUGGCCCUUGUUCAUAGGUUAGCCAUUGGAUCUGGAUACUCAUGUUAAAAUUGCAAGGUAUAUGAACCAAAACUUUUGUAUAUUAACUUAGUUAAGAGAAAAAUAGUCAGCAACUAUGUUAUGUUCAUAUGUAUUCUCCACAGUUUCCACAUGUAGAUUUUAUUGUUUGAAGGCAAAGAAAAUUGCAGCAUGAGCAUAAAGACAAUUUAGCCGGGGGUACCCAAACUGAGAGGGAGGUUAGCAGCAAAUGAAAGACCGCAACUUAGGCUUCCAUGUCUCCCUACUGUUCAGUUUAGACCUCCGAAGGUCGAAG
rnacentral:lncRNA from 1 species